CAGCACAGAGCCUGAUGCAGGGCUUGAACUCACGAGCUGUGAGAUCAUGACCUGAGCUGAAGUCAGAUGCUCAACCGACUAAGCCACCCAAGCGUCCCAUAGACAUGUAUUUUUAAGAAGUUAAAAGUUCAUAUUGCUCAAAGCCAGACUGAGAACCAAAAUCUGAGCUACAGAUUAAUGAGUCUUGGGGCCAAAUCUGGCCUGCCAUUGUGUUUUAUCCUGCACAGCCUGAGACUGGACGGCAUUAGGCCCACUGCCAGUGCUUGCUACUUUCUGCUGGUCAACGUGCAAAUUUAAGAGGUUGCAUAUAUGCACAAAAAGUCUGUCUGCCCUUGAAAAAUUAGGAGAUUGGGGAACAUUGGGGCCACAUGGUUAAUUGGUUGAGGAAGAAUAGUAGCUGCACAUUUAUUUUUUAUUUUAUUUUUUAAACUUUUAAAAAAUGUUUAUAAUUUAUUUAUUAGUAUAAUUUAUUGUCAAAUUGGCUAACGUACAGUGUGUAAAGUGUGCUCUUGGUUUUUGGGGUACAUUCCCAUGGUUCAUUGCUUACAUACAACACCCAGUGCUCAACCCAGUGAGUGCCCUCCUCAAUGUGGCUGCACAUUUAAAACAAGGUUAUGUAUGUACUUUUCAGUUUGUCACAGUAUUCACCAACUCCUAGCAUCUUCUUGAUUCUGAGGCUUCAUGCCAGUGUGAUGGCCCUGUUGUAAUUUUUCUAAUAGAAAUGGAGAGAUGAUGAAAAUGGAUUUCUCCAUCUCCAAAUUAAUUUUAUCUCAAAUUAAACUCAGAGAUUUAUUUUUAUUAUAAAAUUGCCUCUUAUUAUUAAAUCAUGGUUGCAUACACAUAGCACCAGAAAAAGCAACAUAUUGCAAAAUUAGGAAAGCAUUGUUUAGAGAAAUUAAAAUUCAUGUCAACCCAAAGACUUGGACAAGAGUGUUCAUAGAAGCUUUACUCAUAAUAGCCAGAAACAGGAAACAACAAGAUUUCUUGACAGGCACCUGGGUGGCUCAGUUGGUUGAGUCUCUGACUCUUGAUUUCGGCUCAGUGUGAAAGGUGAUCUGCGGUGCGACACAGGACUGGACAUCUAGCACAGUGACACCAGAGCCCCAAACUCCUGCAAAUAUCUGAACAGUUGUGCAAAGAUUGUUAAAACUCUUUGAAAAUGCCUACGUUUGUGAACAGUUCUUCUCAAUUAUUGAAGUCAAGGCUACCAGUCAAGGCUGAAUUCCGUGCUCACGUGGAAACUUGGUACAAGAUUUAAACAGUGAUGUGCUAAAGAAAAAGUCGCAGGUUUCUGGUUCCAAAACAAGAGUUAACAAAUUGUGAAAGAAAAUGUUAAAAGUAAAAUAUUUCUAUUUUAUGUUUUUUUUUUCCAAUUUUGAAUUUAAGUUACCAUUGUCAAUAUCAUGUGUAUGCAUUAUGUGGUAUGGUUGUAAUCCUGGUUCAGAAAAAUAAAGUUUGAUUAUGCUCCUGGCA